rnacentral:lncRNA from 1 species
AAACACAAAUUAAAAAAUGAAAUCGAGUAACCUUAAUCGACUACCAGAACAGUCGAUUAACACUUUAAUCGACUAUCAGAGCAUAGUCGAUUAAGGGGCCAGCAUGCGCGAAUUUCUUUACCCGCGCCGUCAUCCGCUCAAUCUAUCAAAUAUCCCUAGAUCUGCUCUCCAUCGUCACCACCACCGCGGCCACAUCAGACCCUCACCACCCCCAUUUCGAUAUUGUGACGAUUUUUUUAUUACAAAUAAAGUAAAUAACAACCUGCACCAUAAAAAUUCGAUUCCGGCAACAAAUCGAAAUUUUAUCUCUUUUUGCAGCCGAUGUAGCAAUCCUGGUAAUGGAAUUCAGAAUUGCUAUCAAAAUUAUCAUCAUAUUUAGGGCUUCUGUUAAGUUCUGCAAAAGUCUUAAAUCUGCGAAGGGGUAGAGAGCCGCGGGAGUAGGAUGAGACGUCUCAUAGGGGAAUUGAAAGCCGGAGAAGAUGGAUUAAACCUGACGGUGAUGGAGACGGAUUCAACGGAAUUGGCGCCGUUGGUCUGGCGAUGAUGCCGGUGGUUGGUUCUUCAUCUUCAGAUCAUGAGAUAAUAAAUUAGAGAAUUUGGUGAAAAAAGU